UGGACGAACCUCUGGUGUACCGGUUGUGACGCCAGUCGCAUCGCCGGGUAGCUAUGUUCGGAAGGGAUAACCGCUGAAAGCAUCUAAGCGGGAAGCCUACCUCAAGAUAAGAUUUCCCUAGGACUUUAUGUCCUCUAAAGAGCCGUUCGAGACUAGGACGUUGAUAGGUUGGAUGUGGAAGCAUAGUGAUAUGUGAAGCUGACCAAUACUAAUUGCUCGUGAGGCUUGACUAUACAACACCCAAGCAGUUG
rnacentral:rRNA from 1 species